GGGGCUGAUAUAGCUUUCGACAAUUGGACAUUAACAGGUUGUUUUGCAAGUCGACCAUACACGUUACGUAUAUUUUUAGUUGCAAACACAUUUGCAAGCAAAGUUAAGGACGCUAUUACUAGCUUCGCUAGUAUGUUCCGCGCGCCUGCCUUUGCGUCAGCCGUAGCUUAGCUACAGCCGUCUCUCUGUCCAGGCAACAUAGGGUAGAAGAGGCGUUAUAUCAUGUUGCUCGCUGAUUAUCGUGGGCAGUGGCACGAAAAUCGGGACUUUUACCACGCAACAAAUCGGAUUUUUAUGAUUAUUUUCUAGUCUGAGGAGUUGUCAAAACCUUAAGAUAAUCUAUGCUUGUAGACGAAUAGCCAGUUACCAGUUGGACCCGGGGGCAGUACCCGGCAGCUCCACCA
rnacentral:tmRNA from 1 species